AGAUAGUGCAUACUGCCCCGGUGCAUGUUUUUGCCCUUCUCUUACCAAAAAUGUGUACUGUUCCAGAAAAAGCUUAUUGCAGAUUCCUAACGGAAUACCUGCCUGAUACAAUUCAGCUAAAUCUUAACGACAACCCGUUUUCUGUGACAACUUUGCAGAGGAGUAAUUUCUCCUUUUACACCCGACUGGAACAGCUCUUUAUAAAAGGAUGCGGCAUCGAAUACGUUUCCCUUGGAUUCAUUUGCCGAUUUACCAAAGUUAAAGUGGCUGGAUAUCAGCAAAAACCGUCUCAAGGCCAUUGAUGACUACACGUUCAGAGGGUUAACCCUGGAACAUUUGUUUUUAAAUGACAACCCGGGAAUACAAUUGUCCACAAACGCUUUUGGUGGACUUAGAACAACGGGAUUAUAUAUUCACGAAUGUGCCAUUUCUUCUCUUGCAAUCGAAGUUUUUAAACCUUUGAAUGGGACGUUAAAGGCUUUGUGGAUAGAUAAAAACAAGAUAGAAACUUUUGGAACAGAAUGGCUCUAUUUGUUUCGAAAACUAAGUCACGUAAGACUGGGGAAUAACCCCUUUCAUUGCAACUGUGAGCUGAAAUGGCUGUUUGACUUCUAUAACAAUGAUCAAAACAAUCAAAACAAAAUACCAUCGAAAGAGGAGCCCUCUUGUCGAUCCCCACCUAAUUUAAGGGGCAAAGACUUCGGUGCUUUAACUGAAGAUGAUUUUACGUGCCAGUUGCCAGUGUUUAAAAACGUAGAUCUUAUAUUUGAAGAGAGCGUCGGUAAGUUAACGUGUCUUGCUAGCGGAGACCCGGUUCCUACCAUUCACUGGAUAAAGCCUGAUAAUUCAUCUGAAACAUUUCCACCCAAACCUAACCUUGUACAAAUCAAGGAUAAUGAGGGUGUGAUGUACAUCAGCAAUCCUCAUUCUGUGAGCAACGUCAAAUAUCAGUGUGUGGCCAGCAAUCCGGCGGGAAACGUCACGUUGUCCCUUAACGUUUUCUGGCCAACGCAUUAUCCACGUGACGUAGGGAUUCCCGAUACCCCCAAACCAGAAAAACCACCAACCCUUAAACCAACAACACAAGCCACAACACUCUCUGCUAAAAUAGAGGAGAAACAUAGCAAAACUAGUAUUUCAGAAACAACCCAAACCAAGUGAGAAAGUGUAUGUUAUUAAUGCAAAUGCUACAAAAUCAGGGAUGAGCAUGGAGCACCGUUUGUCUCCUUCUGAAGAGUCCCCGGAUUAUACAGUGGUGGACAUAAUAGGCGCUGUCGUUGGUACUUUCAUUCUCACUCUCAUUGCGUGUGUCGUCAUUUUUCACUUUUUUUAUCGUCACCAUGAAAAGCUUUUUCGCGAUCACCCACCGCCGGUGAAUGAAAAAUCGCCCCCUGUGAACAAUUUCUCGCCGGCAGAAAAACUGCUUCUCCAGAAUAAUCAAGUCUAGGAUGUGUUUUGUUCUUUAAGGAAGCUUGAGCUAAUUCUAAAAUCUAAUGGAAGGCGCUGUCAUAAUAAGAGCAGGGCUUAACCUUAGCUUCACCUUCUCCUCGUCAGGAGAAUCAUGUGCAAUAUUGAAAAGGAAUCUUCUCGCCUUUAUGUCGGAUUUUCAAACCUGAAUAAAAUGGACGAGUCUUUGUCCCCAAGUCGACAAAUGAAACAAAGAAAUCGAUCGAUUUUGUGAGUUUUUUGGUGAUCUCGCUUAAAAAAAACAUAGAAUAAUUCUGACCCUAACUACUGGUUAUUUGGAGUGUUUUAUAACGUCCAUGAUGCAUAAUCGCACAACAAUCUCUCUUUCUGCAGAAAAGUGCAAAACAGUUUAAUUUACUGCUAAUUUGUAGAUUAUAUGAACAGCAGUCAUCGCUGAUAGAGGCCUUGGGCGAUACAUUUCUCAUUGGUCCACGAUCGUGUCAUUAAUCUUGCAUGUUUUUCUCUUUUAUCAGAUCUGUACGUCAUUUUAGAAAAUC
rnacentral:misc_RNA from 1 species